UGGGGAAUAUUGCGCAAUGGGGGGAACCCUGACGCAGCCAUGCCGCGUGAAUGAAGAAGGCCUUCGGGUUGUAAAGUUCUUUCGGUAAUGAGGAAGGGAUGUUAUUAAAUAGAUAGCAUCAUUGACGUUAAUUACAGAAGAAGCACCGGCUAACUCCGUGCCAGCAGCCGCGGUAAUACGGAGGGUGCGAGCGUUAAUCGGAAUAACUGGGCGUAAAGGGCACGCAGGCGGACUUUUAAGUGAGAUGUGAAAUCCCCGAGCUUAACUUGGGAACUGCAUUUCAGACUGGGAGUCUAGAGUACUUUAGGGAGGGGUAGAAUUCCACGUGUAGCGGUGAAAUGCGUGGAGAUGUGGAGGAAUACCGAAGGCGAAGGCAGCCCCUUGGGAAUGUACUGACGCUCAUGUGCGAAAGCGUGGGGAGCAAACAGGAUUAGAUACCCUGGUAGUCCACGCUGUAAACGCUGUCGAUUUGGGGAUUGGGCUAUAUGCUUGGUGCCCGAAGCUAACGUGAUAAAUCGACCGCCUGGGGAGUACGGCCGCAAGGUUA
rnacentral:rRNA from 1 species